GUCUUCUCAUUCCACAACCUGAAGCGGCAUAACAGAAGACAAAGAGCUCAUGCCUACCUGGACCCAAUGGGUUGUCAGCCUGACCCUAAUGCUCUUGAUACAUGGCCCAAGUUGCGAUGUGAGGUGUCUGGCCUUAGCCAUUUCUUCUCAACCCAAGUAUGCUCACUGGAUUGGGCUUGGUCCAUCUAGUAAGCUCGGCCCAUCUCCUUGUUUGGCGCACAUCUAUAGGGUUCAAUGGGCUUGGACCAUGCAGGGAGCUCAGCCAAGUCCAGGCCAUGCCCCGGUCAUAUUAACUCCCUUCUUCAAUUAUAUACCUCUGGAUUUUAUAGUAUGAGGGGGUCAGAAAUUUCCUUUAUACAGUCGAGUAGUAGAAGCUGUUCCACCUAAAGCUAUUGUGAUUCCUGCAUCUGGAAAGGACGUGGAUGUUCAACUGAGGAAACAGGACUUAUCAUGGAAACAUUUUCUUUCCAGUGUUGAUCACCACCCUAGGUAA